rnacentral:rRNA from 1 species
GACGAACGCUGGCGGCGUGCUUAACACAUGCAAGUCGAACAGAAAGGCCCUGCUUUUGUGGGGUGCUCGAGUGGCGAACGGGUGAGUAACACGUGAGUAACCUGCCCUUGACUUUGGGAUAACUUCAGGAAACUGGGGCUAAUACCGGAUAGGAGCUCCUGCUGCAUGGUGGGGGUUGGAAAGUUUCGGCGGUUGGGGAUGGACUCGCGGCUUAUCAGCUUGUUGGUGGGGUAGUGGCUUACCAAGGCUUCGACGGGUAGCCGGCCUGAGAGGGUGACCGGCCACAUUGGGACUGAGAUACGGCCCAGACUCCUACGGGAGGCAGCAGUGGGGAAUAUUGCACAAUGGGCGGAAGCCUGAUGCAGCAACGCCGCGUGCGGGAUGACGGCCUUCGGGUUGUAAACCGCUUUCGCCUGUGACGAAGCGUGAGUGACGGUAAUGGGUAAAGAAGCACCGGCUAACUACGUG